rnacentral:rRNA from 1 species
GUGGGGAAUCUUGCGCAAUGGGCGAAAGCCUGACGCAGCCAUGCCGCGUGAAUGAUGAAGGUCUUAGGAUUGUAAAAUUCUUUCACCGGGGACGAUAAUGACGGUACCCGGAGAAGAAGCCCCGGCUAACUUCGUGCCAGCAGCCGCGGUAAUACGAAGGGGGCUAGCGUUGCUCGGAAUUACUGGGCGUAAAGGGCGCGUAGGCGCACAGUUUAGUCAGAGGUGAAAGCCCAGGGCUCAACCUUGGAAUUGCCUUUGAUACUGGCUGUCUUGAGUACGGGAGAGGUGAGUGGAACUCCGAGUGUAGAGGUGAAAUUCGUAGAUAUUCGGAAGAACACCAGUGGCGAAGGCGACUCACUGGCCCGUUACUGACGCUGAGGCGCGAAAGCGUGGGGAGCAAACAGGAUUAGAAACCCGGGUAGUCC